UGUCACAAUGGGAGGGGAUUAAAGGGGGGCUGCCCCAGGGAUCAAGAAGUUCCAGGAUUUUGUCAUCAUCUUGGACAGGAUCCACCUAGACAGAAGUCCUUCAGCCCCUUGGGCAGGUGGAGCCCAUCGAUGGCCAGCCUGUGUACCACGCUCUUCUGGAUCACUAGUCGGCAGAGAGUCUGCAGAGAUGGCACUGUGGAGAGAUGACUGUCAAAGGCAAACUGGUCUGGGGGAAGUAACACUAGAGCUGGGAUCUACGUCUUGGCUCCCACUUGCGAUCGACUUGGGAACUACCUUCCACUCUCAGGCUGAGCCUGCCUGGUGGAGCUGCUUGUAGAGCUGACACAACAUAUCUUUGAGGACUUUGAUCAGACCCACUGCCAUCACAGCACAGCCUAACUAACCCUCGUCCCUUCACUUGGCAGCUUUUUGUCUGCUUUGCCUAUGCGACCACAGCACAGUAACAUAGCAGGCUCCAGCUCAACGAAUUAAUGACGCAUAACCAGAGGUGUAGGUGAAAGGUUUGCUACAAACUACAAUGAGCCAGACCUCUGAUUGUAAAAGCUGUCCAUCUGAGAGCCAUGGCUACUCAAAAAAAACCUAUCUCCAAAACAAAACAAAAACCAAAGUUCUCAAUAUGGAGUUUGUAAUGGCUCAAAACCCAUAUGUCCAAAUCUCAGAACAUUUUUCUAAUAAAAAACAUUCAACUCAUA